CCUUCUCCACCUAACCAGAUCCGCGAGUGCAGGCGGCAACGUGGUCAGGAAAUGCGCCUAAAUUUGUGGCCCAGGAGGGCAGUGAAGGCCAAUGAGGGAUGGAAAUGAGGAAGCCAGCUGUCUGCAGGAGAGGAGAGAAUGUGGACUGCAGUCAAGCGUCUCCAGCAAGGAAAGCAGCCGGAGGGGGGAGCCACCUAGCCCGAGUUGCUCGAGGGUGUUGUCCGGCGCAACGAAGGAGAACUGCGUCUCUCUCCUUUGCUACAGGCCCCAAGAAGGGAAAAAUUGUUUAAAGACACGAAGUUCUGAAGGAAAGCACUCGCUUUUUCAUCUGAGAGAGAGAGGUAGGAUAUUCAAGGAGAGCUACGCCUUCCACCUAUCUCGGCCCGCCCGCGACCAUUAGAUUUCAUCGGUCUGCCUUCUAAAUUUCCAGCUGGGAGUUAAACUGCAAGCAGCCAAAACAAUGACAAGUGCGGUAGGGAUCCCACUUUGCAGGGUUUCUGGAAUUCUUAACUGAAGGCCUCCUCUUGCCCUAACGGCGAACGGCCGCCAGGGGGCAAAGAGGCAUCAACAAAGGCCCAACGAGCCAAUCCCCUGGGCUUCUCUCUGCAGACAGCGUUUUUAAAAACAUGCUCUGGUUGCAAAGGUCUUCUUUUCUAUUUGCAAAGGAUUUUCCGCUCUCGCUCCCUAUCCCUCCCCCCGCCAAAAUAAAUAAAAAUGAAAUAAAAAUAUUUUCCUUGGGCACAGAGAAACGCUGUCCUAGGCACCCACAAGCAUGUUCAGACGGAAGCAACGCUAGGCACUUUCCUGUCUGCAGCUAUAUAACACAUUAAAUAAGAAUGAUAUUCAAAUAUACCAGA